rnacentral:lncRNA from 1 species
GCUUGCAGACGCUUCUCUCUGCUGUUACACAGGGCAGUAUUUUAGGGGAAGCCACAUCCCAGAUCAGCUGGGGACCCAGCGGAAUUUGUAACCACCGGUGACUGUCCGGAUGGUGAAGGCUUUGCCCUGGGGGAAAGCCAGGGUGCGGAUGGUACUGUGGCUGCGGAUGGGCGUGCUGAAGGAGCCGCCUUCCUCCAGCUCACUGUGACUCAGAUUCACCGAGCUGGCGCUGCAGUCGGUGCGCAGUCCUCGGAAGGCGCCGUGGAGGUUCCUGGAGCUGCAGUCCUUGCUGUCUGGCUCUGGCUGCAGCCUGGGCCGCUUAGGGUCACGAUUGUGCAGGGCUUCCUCGCAGCGCUGGGAGAUGUCUCUGAGGAUGGCGUCCACUUCCGCGCAACCCUGCCCUGCUUGCCCCGCAGCACAGAACAGCUCCUCCAGGCUCCUUUUCGUUGUUGCCUUGAUCUGGAAGGGCUCGGCAGGAGACUGCGUGAUCAUCAGCUUCUGUGAAAGAUGAGGGAGAGCCCUGGAGCCAGGGGGACUCGCCUGGAGCCGCGCUGGAAAAAAAAGAGUCAGGUGCGCGCUACUCGAGGGACACCCAGGGGCCCCAACACAAGCUCACUGUCACAGUUCCGACCGUGUCCCGCGCGCCGGUCCACUUACAUCCAGCACUGAGGCCAGGUGCCGGGUCCGGCUGGCGAGUUCUUUCAGCUGCACGUUCCUCUCCCGGAGCGAGGCUAUCUCCUCCUGCUUCUGCGUCAGCGUCACGUGCAGCUGCAGGAGAUCCAGCAUCAAGCAGAAGCCACAGUGCUGGGUCUGCUCUUCAGGAACUAACUCAGACCCUAACUCAUCGGGUCUUAUCAGGACAGAAGACCCACGGGUUUUUAUUGCCUGACAGUAGCCAAUUAUUUGACUUUUUUUUUUUUUUAAAAGGAAGUACUUCAAUAAACUGUAUCUCAAUUAUACUUUAGUGUGUUGUUGGGUAGUAGUCACGAGUACUGAUUUGGUCAGCAGGCCCUCUGAAAGUCAACCAUCCUAUGUCUCCAUUUCUGUAUCUAUAAAACGGGGCUAGAUUGUCUAGCUUGUGUUGUAUCAACCAAGAGAAGAAAGUAAAUUAAUAAACACAGGGUCAGACACAUAAAAACCUGUCCAUAAAUAUAGUUAGUAGUAUUACCAAUCGGUGGGACUCGAGAGCAGUGGUGCACACCACUCAGCACUAGGGGAAACUGAGGCAGGAGGAUCGAAAUUCUAGGCAAGCCUGUGUGUGAUACACGGUUAGGUGCAGGAAUAGACAGGCGUGGGGAAUGCAGCCCAGUUGAUAGAGUACUUGUGCAUGAAGCCCUGUUUUAGAUCUCCAGUACCACAGAAACCAGAAAUGGUGAUGCAUAUCUCAGAAGUUCAAGGUCACCCUCUCUAAGAUAGGGAGUUAGAGGCCAGCCUGGGCUACAUGAGACCUUAUCUUGAAAAG